ACCAGACUCCUACGGGAGGCAGCAGUGGGGAAUAUUGCACAAUGGGGGAAACCCUGAUGCAGCGACGCCGCGUGAAGGAUGAAGUAUUUCGGUAUGUAAACUUCUAUCAGCAGGGAAGAAAAUGACGGUACCUGACUAAGAAGCCCCGGCUAACUACGUGCCAGCAGCCGCGGUAAUACGUAGGGGGCAAGCGUUAUCCGGAUUUACUGGGUGUAAAGGGAGCGUAGACGGCAUGGCAAGUCUGAUGUGAAAGCCCGGGGCCCAACCCCGGGACUGCUCUUGGAACUGCGUGGCUGGAGUGCAGGAGGGGCAGGCGGAAUUCCUGGUGUAGCGGUGAAAUGCGUAGAUAUCAGGAGGAACACCGGUGGCGAAGGCGGCCUGCUGGACUGCAACUGACGUUGAGGCCCGAAAGCGUGGGGAGCAAACAGGAUUAGAUACCCCAGUAC
rnacentral:rRNA from 1 species